rnacentral:rRNA from 1 species
UAGAGCAGUACGGUCAACUAAAACUUAAAGAACUUGGCGGUUUUCUAGAUCUCCUUGGAGGAGCUUGUCAUCGAAUUGAUAACCCACAAGACACCUCACCAACUCAAGACUUAUCAGCUUGUAUACCAUCGUCGUCAGCUCACAUCAAAAGAAAGUAAGCCAAAUGGAAAAUACCCACAACGUCAGAUCAAGGUGCAGCUAAUGAGCUGGGGAUAGAUGAGCUACUUUAUUCACAAAACAGAGGAAGUAACCA